rnacentral:rRNA from 1 species
GGUUAAGUGACUAAGCGUACAUGGUGGAUGCCUUGGCAGUCAGAGGCGAUGAAGGACGUACUAACCUGCGAUAAGCCGUGAGCAGUCGGUAAGAGACAUUACGACUCACGGAUUUCCGAAUGGGGAAACCCACCCAAGAUAACUUGGGUAUCGUUACAUGAAUACAUAGUGUAACGAGGCGAACCGGGAGAACUGAAACAUCUAAGUACCCCGAGGAAAAGAAAUCAACCGAGAUUCCCUCAGUAGCGGCGAGCGAACGGGGAUUAGCCCUUAAGCAUCUUGGAAGUUAGUGGAACGGUCCUGGAAAGGCCGGCGAUACAGGGUGAUAGCCCCGUACACGAAAACAACCUUGAUGUGAAAUCGAGUAGGGCGGGACACGUGACAUCCUGUCUGAAUAUGGGGGGACCAUCCUCCAAGGCUAAAUACUCCUGACUGACCGAUAGUGAACCAGUACCGUGAGGGAAAGGCGAAAAGAACCCCUGUGAGGGGAGUGAAAUAGAACCUGAAACCGUGUACGUACAAGCAGUGGGAGCCCUUCGGGGUGACUGCGUACCUUUUGUAUAAUGGGUCAGCGACUUACAUUUUGUAGCGAGGUUAACCGUAUAGGGGAGCCGUAGGGAAACCGAGUCUUAACUGGGCGUCUAGUUGCAAGGUGUAGACCCGAAACCGGGUGAUCUAGCCAUGGGCAGGUUGAAGGUUGAGUAACAUCAACUGGAGGACCGAACCCACUAACGUUGCAAAGUUAGGGGAUGACCUGUGGCUGGGGGUGAAAGGCCAAUCAAACUCGGAGAUAGCUGGUUCUCCCCGAAAGCUAUUUAGGUAGCGCCUCGGACGAAUACUACUGGGGGUAGAGCACUGUUUGGGCUAGGGGGUCAUCCCGACUUACCAACCCCAUGCAAACUCCGAAUACCAGUAAGUAAUAUCCGGGAGACACACGGCGGGUGCUAACGUCCGUCGUGAAGAGGGAAACAACCCAGACCGCCGGCUAAGGUCCCAAAGUUCUGGUUAAGUGGGAAACGAUGUGGGAAGGCUCAGACAGCUAGGAUGUUGGCUUAGAAGCAGCCAUCAUUUAAAGAAAGCGUAAUAGCUCACUAGUCGAGUCGGCCUGCGCGGAAGAUGUAACGGGGCUCAAACCAGGCACCGAAGCCGCGGAUUCACGCUAAGCGUGAGUGGUAGGGGAGCGU